CAGCAGCCGCGGUAAUACGGAGGGUGCAAGCGUUAAUCGGAAUUACUGGGCGUAAAGCGUGCGUAGGCGGUUCGUUAAGUCUGUUGUGAAAGCCCCGGGCUCAACCUGGGAAUGGCAAUGGAUACUGGCGAGCUAGAGUGUGUCAGAGGAUGGUGGAAUUCCCGGUGUAGCGGUGAAAUGCGUAGAGAUCGGGAGGAACAUCAGUGGCGAAGGCGGCCAUCUGGGACAACACUGACGCUGAGGCACGAAAGCGUGGGGAGCAAACAGGAUAAGAGACCCGUGUAGUCCCUGUCUCUUAUAU
rnacentral:rRNA from 1 species